GGGAUGUGGCACAGUGGUAGCGCGUCCGCUUUGCAUGCGGAAAGUCAGGGGUUCGAUCCCCCUCUUCUCC
rnacentral:ncRNA from 13 species